rnacentral:rRNA from 1 species
CAGCAGCCGCGGUAAUACGAAGGGGGCUAGCGUUGCUCGGAAUCGCUGGGCGUAAAGGGUGCGUAGGCGGGUCUUUAAGUCAGGGGUGAAAUCCUGGAGCUCAACUCCAGAACUGCCUUUGAUACUGAAGAUCUUGAGUUCGGGAGAGGUGAGUGGAACUGCGGGUGUAGAGGUGAAAUUCGUAGAUAUUCGCAAGAACACCAGUGGCGAAGGCGGCUCACUGGCCCGAUACUGACGCCGAGGCACGAAAGCGUGGGGAGCAAACAGGAUUAGAUACCCCAGUAGUCCCUGUCUCUUAUAA